rnacentral:rRNA from 1 species
GACGAACGCUGGCGGCGUGCUUAACACAUGCAAGUCGAACGGAAAGGCCCCUUUGGGGGUACUCGAGUGGCGAACGGGUGAGUAACACGUGAGUAACCUGCCCUUGACUUCGGGAUAACUUCAGGAAACUGGGGCUAAUACCGGAUAGGAAUCCUUGCUGCAUGGUGGGGGUUGGAAAGCUUCUGGGGUUUUGGAUGGACUCGCGGGUUAUCGGCGUGUUGGUGGGGUAGUGGGUUACCAAGGCUUGGACGGGUAGCCGGCCUGUGAGGGCGACCGGCCACCCUGGGACUGAGAGACGGCCCAGGCGCCUACGGGAGGCAGAAGGGGGGAAUAUUGCACAAGGGGCGGAAGGCGGAUGCAGCAACGCCGCGGGCGGGAUGACGGCCUUCGGGUUGUAAACCGCUUUCAGCAGGGGCGAAGCUUGUGGUGACGGUACCUGCAGAAGAAGCACCGGCUAACUACGUG